rnacentral:tRNA from 1 species
GAGGGUAUAGCUCAAGUGGCAGAGUGCAUGCUUAGCAUGCAUGAGGUCCUGGGUUCAAUCCCCAAUACCUCCU